GAGUUUGAUCGUGGCUCAGAACGAACGCUGGCGGCAUGCCUAACACAUGCAAGUCGAACGAAGUCUUCGGACUUAGUGGCGCACGGGUGCGUAACGCGUGGGAAUCUGCCCUUGGGUACGGAAUAACUCAGAGAAAUUUGUGCUAAUACCGUAUAAUGUCUUCGGACCAAAGAUUUAUCGCCCAAGGAUGAGCCCGCGUAAGAUUAGCUAGUUGGUGAGGUAAGAGCUCACCAAGGCGACGAUCUUUAGCUGGUCUGAGAGGAUGAUCAGCCACACUGGGACUGAGACACGGCCCAGACUCCUACGGGAGGCAGCAGUGGGGAAUAUUGGACAAUGGGCGAAAGCCUGAUCCAGCAAUGCCGCGUGAGUGAUGAAGGCCUUAGGGUUGUAAAGCUCUUUUACCCGGGAUGAUAAUGACAGUACCGGGAGAAUAAGCUCCGGCUAACUCCGUGCCAGCCGCCGCCGUAAG
rnacentral:rRNA from 1 species